rnacentral:rRNA from 1 species
AUUGAACGCUGGCGGCAGGCCUAACACAUGCAAGUCGAACGGUAGCACAGAGAGCUUGCUCUUGGGUGACGAGUGGCGGACGGGUGAGUAAUGUCUGGGAAACUGCCUGAUGGUGGGGGAUAACUACUGGAAACGGUAGCUAAUACCGCAUAACGUCGCAAGACCAAAGAGGGGGACCUUCGGGCCUCUUGCCAUCAGAUGUGCCCAGAUGGGAUUAGCUAGUAGGUGGGGUAACGGCUCACCUAGGCGACGAUCCCUAGCUGGUCUGAGAGGAUGACCAGCCACACUGGAACGGAGACACGGUCCAGACUCCUACGGGAGGCAGCAGUGGGGAAUAUUGCACAAUGGGCGAAAGCCUGAUGCAGCCAUGCCGCGUGUAUGAAGAAGGCCUUCGGGUUGUAAAGUACUUUCAGCGAGGAGGAAGGCGAUACGGUUAAUAACCGUGUCGAUUGACGUUACUCGCAGAAGAAGCACCGGCUAACUCCGUGCCAGCCGCCGCAGUAA